rnacentral:rRNA from 1 species
GACGAACGCUGGCGGCGUGCUUAACACAUGCAAGUCGAACGAUGAAGAAAAGAAUCGAAGCUUCGGCAGAAAUUCAUUUCGGAUUAGUGGCAGACGGGUGAGUAACGCGUGAGCAACCUACCUCUUACAAAGGGAUAGCCUCGGGAAACCGGGAUUAAUACCAUAUAACAUUGUGACGAAGCAUUUCGAUGCAAUCAAAGCUACGGCGGUAAGAGAUGGGCUCGCGUCCCAUUAACCGGAUGGUGAGGUAACGGCUCACCAUAGUGACGAUGGGUAACCGGCCUGAGAGGGUGAACGGUCACACUGGAACUGAGACACGGUCCAGACUCCUACGGGAGGCAGCAGUGGGGAAUAUUGCACAAUGGAGUGAACUCUGAUGCAGCGACGCCGCGUGAGUGAUGAAGGAAUUCGUUUCGUAAAACUCUGUUCUAUGGGAAGAAAAGGACUGUACCAUAGGAGAAAGCUCCGGCUAAAUACGUG